AGUGAACGCUGGCGGUAGGCCUAACACAUGCAAGUCGAACGGCAGCACAGUAAGAGCUUGCUCUUACGGGUGGCGAGUGGCGGACGGGUGAGGAAUAUAUCGGAAUCUACUUUUUCGUGGGGGAUAACGUAGGGGAACUUACGCUAAUACCGCAUACGCCCUACGGGGGAAAGGAGUGGAUCUUCGGACCGUGCGCGGUUGAAUUAGCCGCUGUCGGAUUAGCUGGUUGGCGGGGUAAAGGCCCACGAAGUCGAGGAUCCGUAGCUCGACUGUGUGGAUGGUCACCGACACUGGAACUGAGACACGCACCAGACUCCUACGGGAGGCAGCAGUGGCGAAUAUUGGACAGAGGUCGCAAGCCUGAUCCAGUCAGACCGCGUCGGUGACGACGGCGUUCGGGUCGUAAUGCCCUUUUGUUGGGAAAGAACAGCAGUAGCUUAAUACCACGCUGUUCUGACGGUACCCAAAGAAUAAGCACCGGCUAACUUCGUG
rnacentral:rRNA from 1 species